CAUGCAGAAUUUUAAAUGCUGGAUGCGCUGAUUUCCUCACAGGCGACACCAGGCUCAGAAACGGAAGAUGGUAGCCUCAGGUUAGAUCGAGGCACCUAUCAGUACAUGUACCAGGACAUAGUGAACAUCAAGACAAUGCUUCUAAAGCUCAAGAGGGUCUUACAAGAGAAUGAAGAGAACGGUUUGAUGAGGGCAGAAACUCUCAACCCAUUCGAUGGAACAUUGAAGAAUGGUCUCUUCUACACCUUGGCAAGUAGCGAGGUGAUGGCUGGUGCUGACACAGAAGAUGGCAGUGAGUCAGGUGUUGGCCAUUCACCGCAAGAGGAAGUGGCAGAUCUUCGGCGGCAGGUGGUGUUCCUGCAGCAGCAGAUGGAGGAGAAGGAACGAACAAUACAGCUUCUUCAGCUGCAGAUGACAAAGUACACAAAUUCGGAUUCUGUGACACAUGCAGCUGCUAAAGAGUCCUGCAAUGCUACUACACAGACUGAGAGGGUUCGACCAGUGUCAGCAGGACCAUCUCUCCUUCAGUCACUGCCAUCAGAAGGCAACAUGGGACCCCUUGUGAGGCUGACUCAGCAACAGUAACUGUUACUUUUACAUGUCUGGCUGGAUGCUGCAGCUUCAGGAUAGGGAAGACUUUUGGUUUUGACUGAUACAUGGGUCCAGAGGAGACAGCCAUCACUGGGAUAGCCGGAGGUAGGAUGACAACCAGUAAUGACAACUUCAAAAUUCCCAGGGAAAGGGGUCUGGAAGCAGCGAAAUAGCUUGGCUGCCUUAGAACUUGUUGCUGCAGUGACAUCUAGAUCCGAGCAAUCGGGCAUCCCUACAAGGAAGUAUAGUGCUAUUACCACAUCCUCAACAUUACCAAGACGAAGUCACAUAGGAAGUAACAGCAUAGCAACCAAAACCUGACAGAAUUUGUAGAUUUGUAUGUUGUAUGUUGUGAUAUUUUGAAUAUUGAUGGUGGUCCAGUUGCCUGCUCUAGGAUAUCGAAGAUCCUUCUUUCCCACACAUUCAUAUCUGAAAUUGACAUGUAUUUAAAAUUAAAAUGGGUAGCUGGCGUAUUAA